rnacentral:rRNA from 1 species
GACGAACGCUGGCGGCGUGCUUAACACAUGCAAGUCGAACGGCAAGGCUCCAGCUUGCUGGGGUACACGAGUGGCGAACGGGUGAGUAACACGUGGGUGACCUGCCCUGCACUUCGGGAUAAGCCUGGGAAACUGGGUCUAAUACCGGAUAGGACCGCACCGUGAGGGUGUGGUGGAAAGUUUUUUCGGUGUGGGAUGGGCCCGCGGCCUAUCAGCUUGUUGGUGGGGUAAUGGCCUACCAAGGCGGCGACGGGUAGCCGGCCUGAGAGGGUGGACGGCCACAUUGGGACUGAGACACGGCCCAGACUCCUACGGGAGGCAGCAGUGGGGAAUAUUGCACAAUGGGCGGAAGCCUGAUGCAGCGACGCCGCGUGGGGGAUGACGGCCUUCGGGUUGUAAACUCCUUUCACCAUCGACGAAGGGUUUCUGACGGUAGAUGGAGAAGAAGCACCGGCUAACUACGUG